rnacentral:lncRNA from 1 species
CCACUCCUCCUUUUCCAACCUCUUUACCACUAAUCCUAGUUGUUAAUCCCGGCGGCCAGCGGUGCACGGCACACGCGCGUCCGCUUUCGGUCGCGCGGCCAAGGCGUGCGUGCGUGUGCUGCGUCACAAGACAUGCCAGGCCAGGCCGCGAAAGAGAACAAAAUUAUUCCAGACAGCCACGAUCUGCCCGCGGGGGUUUCGCCUUCGCCGCCCGUACGUGCAACGGAAGCUGCCAGGCAGAGCGCGUCGUGACUCGCCCGAUCCACUGGGUGAUCCCUCACACACGCACGCACACAGAAAGCCAGCAGGGGCGGUAGCAGGAGCAGCGAUGGAUCUCGGGCUCCAUCAGCUGCGCCUCUGAUGCGGCUGCCGCGGCGCUGGCCGACCGCGCGGAAAGCGAAAGCCUGCCGCGGGCUCCCUCUCGCGCGCGGGGCUGGCCUGGCCGAGAGAGGAGAGCGAUCCCUUCGGCCUGCGGCAACGCCGAGCGCGGCAGGCACAACGUGACGUCCCAGCAGCCGCUGCCGGUGGCCGCCUCCGCUUUUUCGCUUUGCCUCGGCACAGCACACACACUCGGCAGGAUGGCCUGGCCAACCGAUCGGUCCGGUCCGGACACGAGGAGGGUCCCAGGACGCUGCCGCGCGCACUGGGCAGCCAGAGCCAGCCGAGUAGCUCACCAACACGCGCGUUGUCCGAGUCCGACACGACGCUGUAGCUUCCUGUUGUGUUGAGGGUACGCGGCCACUGUAGCACUCAUUGAGCUGCUGGUAGCAGGCGUUUCAAUUCGUCGCUUGCUCCUAGAUUUGCAAGCGUUAUGAACAACUAGUAGUAGUAAUAAUCAGUACCAACUGUUCAGGCAUUCUUUAGAGCAGCGCAUAUAUGAACUCAGGUCGGUGUCUUCUUUUGUCUUUGGUCUGCAAAUUACAGUACAGUAACGUACACAGGGCAGGCCCGAUGAUCGUCUCCUCUUUUUUUUUUUUUUGUCCACGUAUAAAAACAAAAAGAGCGGCGUGGCGGUGUGAAAAGCCGUGCCUUGUUGCACAUGCAAAGACGGAGCAAAGACAACAGAGGCGCCAGCCGCCAUGCAUGCACACACACAGCAACCGCCAGGCAGAGGCAGGCCCGCUGUUUCACUGGCCACUGAACCCUGAGGUAGCCCGGACCAUCGCCAAUAAAAAGAGUCGGUAGAGGCCGGCGCGGCGCGCACCCAUUUCACGCGGGAUCCGAGUUCCGGACCGAUCAAACCAGGCAAGCAGACAUGUCAACGACUCAUGAUCCAACACGCACCCACGCCAAUAUGCCGUGGCAUUGCAAUUGGCAUGACUCACACUCACACACUCGCGAGCAAGCGAGUGAAGUUAGUGCCUGUAGGCCGCACGCACGACCUGACUGAACCGAUCGCACCCACCAACACGUCCAAUCACCCCGGCCGAUGCGCUUCACAGGCAGGCAGGCAGCACCUCCAUCACUCCGAAAGCGCUGCCUGGUGUUCGGCGUCCCGACUGCUACCGCUCGCCUUAUGGUAUGGCAAGGCAUACGUGUGGCGACGCAGACCACUUGUGGCGUAGGAGUACGUACGAGCAAAGGCGAGAGGCAACCUACUCGUCCUCCAUUGCCUCCCAGCCCAGGAAGCGAUCGAUGCCUCGCCUGGCGCUAGCGCCCGCGCGCCCAUCAUCACUCGUGUCGUCCCGGCCGGUCCCGAGGCCGGAUCGAUCGGAGAACCCCCGAACGAACAGGAUCGUUUUCGGGCUGCCCCCGGUUGUCGCGUCAACCAACAGCAGCUGGGUGCUGGAUCCAUCAUCACCCGCUUGGAAGACUUGCGGCACUGCAUUGAACGGAUGGGAUGGGCGCCUCCCGGCCCCUACGCCGGUGCGCGACGCGGUCGCGGCAGGUUGGUAUGUUUGUCAGGGCCCUGCAGCUGGGGGCGCGCCAGGUGAGGGGACGGCGACGGCGAGAUUGUCCGCGGUCGACAGCGACGCCGGGCCGCGCGGCGGAGGCAGGCGCGCCGUCUAGUCUAUUCGCGUCCCUGUCGCGGCCGGCCGGCCGGCCGGGCUAGCUAGCUAGCUCGCCAUCAUCAUUGAUCAUGCGCGCGCGCGCGCGACUGCUGGGAACGGAACGGGAUGAACCGGUCGGUGUGUGCACGCACACGGACGGAUCUAUCAAUGGAGAUGAGAUUCUUGUUUGUGUAGAAUGGUAGGUCGUGGUCGGUCCUCCAUCCAUGUGAUGGGGUGACCAUGUAGAAUGGGGGGAGUUGGGCCUUCGUUCAGUGUGUCUCGGACGAAAACUGCCAUGAAUUCCGGUUCCAGACUACAUUGAUUUGAUUAAUCAAUAUUGUGGGCGUACGCCUGCGCGAUAACGAGAUUCGAUGCAUGCUUAAAAAUCUUCUUCACACACAGAGGAGGGAGGAGGUUGUUGCUUUCGAGGGCUGGCCGGCCGGUCAUGGGCUUGGGAGUACUAUACAUGCCUGGGUCUUACAAUAUUGAUUGAUGAUGAGGCGGUGUAGUGCAUGCAGUGUAUCCUCGUGCUCCCAACCUCGUUGCCGUCACGCUCACCCCCUCGUGGACAUGUCUGGCCGGCCGGGGCGCCAGGCGCCAUCGAGCGCCAGUGUGACGGCCCCAUGGAGGUAGACGGAGGUGGUGCAUGCAGAGUGCAGUGCAGUGAAUCAUCAUGCACCCAAACAAAACAAAGCAUCAGGCUAAAGCCACAGAAAUAGAACAGAAACAAGGGUCCCUAUACACGAAAGCAACGUAGGCGAGAGCGAGGGAGGGAUGGGGAAAAAAAACACGGCGGGCCGGAAGACAUUCCCCUGCCGCCAUCAAGAUCGAUCGAUCCCUUUCCGUCGACGGAGAGACAAGGGAGACCGUCGAUCACCAGCAGGCCACGGCAGGGGAGCUGGAACCGGACGUGAUGGUCCUGCUGCAGCAAUUGCGAUCGUCGCAAUUGCAAUUGCAAUUCAAUCAUAACACGAGCCAAGGACAGUGACGCCGCUGCGGUGCCUGCCCCUGUGCGAGGGCCCCCCUGUGUCCUGCGACACAUGCGGCCGCUAAUCCCCGUCAAUAAAGACGGAUUUGGCCGGAUUUGUUAAGAGGAUCGGAGAACCCCUCGUCCUCAUGCUCAUCCACUCGUGGAUCGUUGCAGUGGCGCAGCGCCGUGCGUGCGCGUUGGAUGAAACGCCGCCGUACUAUGCCUUGUUUAGUUGUUGAAAAUUUUGCAAAAUUUUUCAGAUCCCUGUCACAUCCAAUCUUUAGACGUAUACAUGGAGUAUUAAAUAUAAAUGAAAAUUAAAACUAAUUGCACAGUUUAAUCGGAAUUGACGAGACGAAUCUUUUAAAUCUAGUUAGUCCAUAAUUGGACAAUAUUUGUCAAAUACAAACGAAAGUGCUAAUAUUCCUAUUUUGCAAAAAAUUUUGAAAGUAAACAAGGCACUAGCGUGAGGACGGUGGUGAUGCAGUGACGAAGCUCUGCCUGCUCCCGUCGUGGUUAUCUAUGCUCGACUGCUCGUGACCUCUUGUGUAUCGUGGAGCUGUGCGUCACUAUACAAGAGUGUAUUCAUUCAUUGCGUGUAGGCGCCGCCUUGUUGUUUAUGGGCCGUCUGCCGCCGCCCUGUUCGUCCAGAACGCGACAUGCAUGGUUCGUCGGGGUGGCGGUCGACGUACGUAAACUGCGGCCUUGUUUAGUGCACUCUGAAAACCAAAAAGUUUUCAAGAUUCCCAGUCAUAUCGAAUCUUGUGACACAUACAUGAAACAUUAAAUAUAGACAAAAACAAAAACUAAUUACACAGUUUAGCUGUAAAUCACGAGACGAAUCUUUUGAUCCUAGUUAGUUCAUGAUUAGAUAAUAUUUGUCACAAACAAACGAAAGUGCUACAGUACCGAAAAGUGUUCACUUUUCGGAACUAAACAAGGCCUGCAGUAAAACUACAACUUCUUCAAUCGAUGCCGAUGGUGUAAUCACGUGAUCCUUGCUUCGAUCACGCAGUCCUGAUGGUAAGAGUAACACACAUUACACUUUACAGCCGUUUCAAAAAAAAAAACAUUACACUUUACAGCGACGAAUUCGCCGAUUUGGUCAUGUGAUUCAUUCAUUCAACCUAGCUAGAUAACAACAGGAGGAGAAACCUACCGAUCGAUCGCGAAAACAACGUUUCGUCCGGAUACAAUGAUAUUGCAAUGCUUGCUUCCCAUUUCGGCGUGCUUAUCGUGUAGCGCCCUGGCCCUCUACAGCUACCUCCAAGUCUGCUUCGUGCUUAUAUCGUGCUUAUUAUCUUUUGAUUUGAUCUUCCGGCGGUACGCAUCGGGCAUCGGCAUCGCGUUUCUGUACGUGCGGGCUACGUGUGCAUACUAGCCGAUCGGUGUACGUACACGACCCGUCUGACCAUGCAAUGUAAACUUAACACCUCUGUUCACGUACGUUCGUGAACCGUAGACUGUUGAGACCGAGAGAUUAUUUCGCUGGUCUGCAUGUCCAGCCGGGCGCGGGCACAUGCAUGACACGUACGUACGCGCGCGCCUCGCCGAGCAGCACGUUGGUGGUGCAUUGCAGCAUAACGUAUAUCCCUAAAUCCACGACACAGGACGGUGGAUGAAAAUAAAACCUGGGUCGUGACGCGUGGUGUCGAGACGGGAACGUUCAGGAAUUUUAUCCCACGGUGGUACACGGCACAGCAGCGCGCAGUAACCUCCCGAUGAAAUGCUAGCGCGUGAAACCGCUGCUGCCUGCGAGAGCAGCAAGUUUUAGACACAGCGCGCGGUACAUCCUGCGGGGGUAACGCAACGCCUCCCGGGGGGGGGGGGGGGGGGGGGGCGCCCGGCUAAUUGGGUUUGGGCGUGCGGGGGGGGACGCUGGGUCUGGUCUGGGUGGGUGAUGGCGAUCUCCCUGCCGGUGGGGCCCACGCACCCCCACCCCCGUUUUCGUUUCCACCUCCCCGUCGCCACGUCGGCGCCUCCCUCCGCCCGCCCGCCGCUAUAUCUUCACGCCGAUCGCUUCGCCCCCUCACCCCUUCCAGCCUUCCUCCCCACUCAGCUUUCCACCACCCUCUCGCCACACCACACUACACAGCGCGCACGCUCGGCUCGAAGCGAGCUCUUCUUCUCCACUUCUCCCCUGUUCCAUGCACCACCGCUCGCUUCCCUCCUAGCUAGACAGGGCUUGCAUUGAGACUGAACGCGCGCUUGUGUUCUUUCUGCGUGUCAAUUGGUUCGUCUGACUCUGCUGGGAUGGAGAGGUGGGGGGACAAGGACAAGCGGGCGGCGGGUGCGGCGCCGGGGAGGGCGAGGCGGUACGCCGACCAGCCGUCCUUCUCGUCCACGCUGCUCGACGCCAUAUACAAGUCCAUGGACGAGCCCGACGAUGGGGUGACAUCAUCCGGCGCCGCCACCGCGGCAGCGACCAAGAAGCAGAACCAUGACCUGCACUACAGCUACUACUACAAGGCGUCGCUGGCGGGGAGCUACCGCGGCAGCAGCAGGGCGGCGGCCCCUGGGCCGCACGCCGCCACCACGUCGAGCUCCUCCGAGUGCUCCAGCUACGGUGGGUUCUCGUCGUCCGAGGCGGAGUCGUCGCAGCACCGGCGCCUGCGGCCCAUACGCACGAGCGCCGCCGCCGGGGCGGCGGCCACCGCGCCCGCGCCCGCGCUGGCGCCGGAGCAGAAGAAGAAGGCCGCCAAGAAGGCCGGCGCCAACAUCCGCGCCAAGCUGAGGGAGCUCCGCAAGCCGGCGUCUCCCGGCGCUUCCCCAGGCGCGCGGCUGGCGGGGUUCCUCAACGCCAUCUUCAACGGCAGGCGCGCGCCGCAGACGCCGCCGUCGGCGUCGGCGUCGCGGGGCGCGGCGGCGGAGUCCGCGUGCUCCACGGCGUCGUCCUACUCGCGCUCCUGCCUCAGCAAGACGCCGUCCACGCGGGGCCAGCCGAAGCGGACCGUGCGGUUCCUGGACAGCGACGACGGCGGCGAGGCGGCGGCGCCCGCCCCGGGCGUCGAGCGCCGGAGGGUGCAGGUCGGGGUGGCGGAGCUGGAGCAGAUGCUGCUCCACCGGAUGGAGAUGGACAGCGACGAGGAGGACGACGAGGAGGACGAGGAGAGCAGCGACGCCAGCUCCGACCUGUUCGACCUCGAGAAUUUCGCGGCCGUUGCCCCCGACGCCGGCGCCGCCGCCGCGGCGUACAGGGACGAGCUGCCAGUGUACGAGACGACGAGGGUGGUGCUGGGCCACCGCGCCAUUGGCCACGGGUACGCGCACGGGAGGAGUACCAGAGUCGUGUGAUCUUGCUGCCGGGAUUCAUCAUUCAUUUCUUUCCGGGUCCGGAGCGCCAGGGGUAACUGUAAAAUGGUGGUGGAGUAACUGUAAAAUACAAGUGAGAGCGGUUGUUUGUGAGGGAAAUGGGAUUAUUGGGGCAACAAGUGUUUGCUACUCGUACUCUCAUCUACUAGCAAGUAGUGAGAUCUUUGGGAGGAUUUCUUGGAUCCUUUUUUUUCCCUCUCUCUCCCUGUCUUUAUUCCCAUCCUUCUCCAUGUCGUUGUGUGUGUGUGUGUGGUUAGUUCUAAUUUUAAUGGAGUAACUCAGCGAUUUGCCAAGCUCUUUUGUCCUCUUUCUUUCCCUCUGUUUUCCUUCCUUCCUUCAUUCAUUCAUUCAUUCAUUCACAGAUAGAUGAUGUUACAGUCAUUUCUCCGUUUCUUUAGGAAAUCCUGCAUCUUCUCGCAAAUUUGUGCGGGAAGGAACGGAACGAAGCCGAGCCGCAAUGAAUUUAGUCCGUGCCACCGCCACGUGUUGUCAGCUGUUGUUGAGAAGAAAGCACUCAUGGCGUAUGAGAUCACUUUCUUUGGUUCAGCCUUGGAAAAGCGAAUUCCAAUCGAAAGCAAUCGAUUCGGAUACUUGAUGAAAAAAAAGGGUUGGAGAGCCCGCUCGGUUGGAUAUCUGACGACGUUUCUAUCUCAUCGAUGGGCACCGCACUAGAGCGCCAAACCGUACUAGGUAAUCACUGUAUUAGGCACUUAAAAACCGCACAGACUGCCCCUGCAGCAGCCUCUGCACUGCAAUUUUUUUUUUCUUGUGGGCUGAGCGUGCGGCCAACCGAGCACGACGUGUGCAAAGAGAUGAAAAAAAAAGUGAGAUCCGUGGACGAUUACCUGUAGGCUGUAGUGCUAUGAUCGGCGGGGGAUUUGACAGCGGGUGCACACGCGCGCUGCCGCACCUGCUGCCGAUGCCGAUGCCGAUGCGCUAGUGCUCUGCAUUGUGAAUCGCCAAACCAAUCAUUACUGGAAUCAUUUCCAGUUCCAGGGUUUGCCACAGCCUUACAGCCCGCAGUUGGUGAGUAGUAUGGUGCACCAUUCCGCGGUUCGGACUUGAGAGGCACCAGUGCGUUUUCGUUCCGUUCUCACUCGUGCUCGUCGCUACAGUAGAGUUCUUGGUGCCAACGAUUAUUGCACUGAUCAUGAAUCAUGAUCACGUUGCAUUAUUGACCACCGAUGAGUCGGGGCGACGACGGAGCAAAAUGCAGAUAUAUGCACGCAUGUCUUGCCAUGCAUGUUGGUGGCACGCCUCGUUUUCGCGGUGCGAAACCUGGAAACAAGCCCCCGAUCCCGGUUAAUCUGUACGGCCAUGACAACAACCAAACUGCCAAUAAUCCUGGAGCUCCAUGUCCACGACAGAUGCCUUGAUCCAAAAGUAAACGCUGUCGACGCGUGUUGUGUUCUUACUCUUGUGCGUGUAUGUGUGUAUGCUAGCUAGGGAACGUGCCUCUGUUAGCUAGAGAUAGGUCCGCGCGGAUAAAAAAAUAUGGGCUACGGGGGAAACUAAUGAUCUAAUGAAUGCCACUCUCGCAUCGUGUCAGCGGCCGGACAGGUUUCAGUAACAUAUUUUCCGGUUCCGGGUCUGGCCUGUGAAAACGGACAGUCAAGUAUUUCGGCUGGGGGCUGCUACAGAAGAAGAAGAUGUGUUUUCAAACAAGCAACAUGCUCAGCAUCCAGCUUGUCUUGGCUUGGCCACAUGGAAGAUCAGAGGAGCCUUUCACCUUUGAAUAUCGUAAUAUUCCAUCGACUUUGAUGCAGGCAUGUUAUGUACUCGAAACUAUAUAUGGUUUUUCUUGUCCUCACUGUAUAUUCUUUCAUUUGGACAUGCAUUCUGAAUAAUGCAGCUUUUCUAGCGCUGUCGCUCAGCAGUUGAAAGUUUGAAACUCACAGUGCAGUUGUCCUUUUUAUGUCUCACAAUUAAAGGAUUUACGUUUACUACCCUUGUUUGUGCUUUGUACCAUCCGAGGGACACGGACGAUUCUCGUACCACUGUCACUCGUGUGGUGCCUACUAAAAGUUUGAAACCAAAAUCAAAACUACCCUGCUGAUUUUUACUAUACAGAUGCUCAGUCUUCACUCGUACCGUAAUAAAUAGCACUAAUCAUAUUUGCAAAUAAUGAUUAUUUCCUCUAUUCCAAAUUAUAAGUCAUUCUAACUUUCUUGGAGAGUUAAAACAUCUCAGGUUUUAGUUAAUUAUAAAAAAAUUAUAAAAAUUUAUGAUAUUAGAUAGUAGCUAGGUAUGCUACGAAAAUAUAGUUAAUAAAAAAUCUAAUAAUAUUUAUUUGAUAUUAUAAAUAUUAUUAUUUUAUUAUAUAAAUUUAGUCAAACUUAAUAUGGUUUAACUUUCUAAGAAAAUUGAAAUGAUUUUAUAAUUUGAAAUGGAUGGAGUACUAUAUGGGCAAUGGCUCGAAGAAGAUAGCAAGUUAAAACUUAGCAAACGCUGUUAUGCUCAACGUCGUUACUAGUUUGUUGUGUGGAUGAUCCAAGUGAUGUUGAGAAUGAUUCAAACUAUCGAGAAUUGUGAAUUGGGCGAUGAUGGAGAACGGUCGGUUGUGUCUCUUGUUCACUGAUACAAGAACAUGAUGUUAAUUUUUCUGUUUUGUAUUUUCUUAGCUUAUUUAAUGAUGGUUCUUGGUGACAACGAUAUUAAUUAAUUAUACCAUGAAAUGUAUUUCUAAGGUCUUGUUCAGUUCCAAAUUUUUUUGAAUUUUAUGUACUGUAGCAUUUUCUUUUUUUAUUUAAUAAUUAUUGUUUAAUUAUGGACUAACUAGGCUCAAAAAAUUCAUCUCGUUGUGCAAUUAGUUUUUGUUUUUGUCUAUAUUUAAUGCUUCAUGCAUAUGCCGCAUGAUUCAAUGUGACAGAGAAUCUUAAAAAGUUUUUAGUUUUUGGAGUGAACUAAACAAGGCCUAAGUUAAGUUGACUUCAUGUUAGUUCUAACCUAUACUAUGAUCCAAAACUCUGUCUAUUUUCAUGUUUCCCUUUUAGAACUUAGACCAUCUUCAACAGUUUGGCAAAAUUAGUUUCCCAAAUCUUGUUGUUUGCCAACUCCCAAAAUAAUAUGGAAGGAAAAAAAAUCUCAUCUCCAAUAGUUUGUCAAAUUUCGUUUCUAAAAACCUAAAAACCCGCUAAGCGAACGAAGAGCCCCUCUAAGCAUGAGAAAAAAGACUGAUGCCAAGCAUGGAGCCCGUGCCCAUAUUUGCGCGCUAGACAGAGAGAUAUGCCAAAUUAGAAAAAAAAAAUGAGGAAUUAGAAUGCCAAACUGUUGGAGAAUUUUUUUUUUCUCAUUUUACUAAAAAAUUUAUGGACGAGAAGUCAUUUACCAAACUGUUGGAGAUGUUCGUCGGUUUCGCAUGGCGCUGACUUCUAGUGUGAAGUCGUGCCAAAACACUGAGGCCUUGUUUAGAUUCAAAAAGUUUUUGGAUUUUGAUAUUGUAGCAUUUUCGUUUUUAUUUGACAAACAUUGUCCAAUCAUGGAGUAUCUAAGUUUAAAAGAUUCGUCUCGUCAUUUACAGACAAACUGUAUAAUUAAUUUUUGUUUUCAUUUAUAUUUAAUGCUCCAUGUGUAUGCCGCAAGAUUCGAUGUGACGUAGAAUCUUGAAAAGUUUUUGGUGUUUAGGUAAACUAAACAAGGCCUGAGAUUGCCAAAAAGUUCGAACAAGUCAGAGCUAUUUUUAUACUAGCAAGCAGGAACCGCGAAGACAUGCAUGCUUUCUUCUGGCUUCUCCUCACAAAUUUGACACAGAUUAUUAUAACAAAACUGUCACUGAAGUCAUUUUUUCUAAACAUCUUCUAAAAUAACUUCACCUCCAUGAGAGAAGCCAGGGCUUCGUAAGAGGAGCUGAGGCCCUGGGCCUUGGUACCUGAUCUUUGUAGUUCCCUACCAGACAAAUAUCUAUUUAUUAGCUUGUACUCUCCCUGGAAGGACAUUUCAAAUGGAAGGUAAAAUAACAAAACGUUCCCGGAAACACGUUUGAAAUGGAAGCCAGAACAACGGGAUUGCACCGGUAAAAUAAUAGCACGUUUGGAGUAACUGCCAGUACUGGAGCUGGACAAGAUGUUCAUGUGUGAUCCAGCUUCAGCGCAAUCAAACCGCUCUAUUUGGGUGUCCCGGCCAUCCAUCAUCUAAAAAAUAAAAUAAAAUUAUGAAAAAAAAAGAUCUCACUUCUUAUCGUCGCCUUUGUCCGAAGUAAUCUCAGUAGCAGAAAGGAAACAUGAGGGGUGUAUUUUACCAUUAUAUUUCCCACCAAAUAUCUUUCACUUUUUUGCCAGCUUUGGCGAGUCCCCAGUCAAAAAGAAGGGAGUUCAUCGAGUCUCUUGAGAAGUAGCCGUCGCAUUCGAGACAUUUUUCUAUGGCUGGUUCCAUCAAACGAUUCCCAUACUUUUGGAGCGUGGCUGCAGUUGUACCCGUACUACGCUAUAAAAAAUUAAAAUACACUGCAGCUCUAGAGCCUUCAAUUGUAUGGGAAUAAAUUUUUAAGAUUUCUUAUCCCAUCGAAUCUUUAAACGAAUGUAUAAAGUAUUAGAUAUAUAAAAAAAUAAUUAAUUAUAUUUACUAGUAAUUUAUGAGAUGAAUAUUUUAAGUCUAUGGUUGAAUAAUAAUUAACAAAUACAAACGAAAGUGAACUAAACAAGGCCUUACAAUCUACUACACCCUUCGUACAAAAAUUAAGACUAUUCUCUGGGUAUGCAUCUGAUUUUUGCUCUACUUCACCAAGAAAAAAAAAACCAUGUGUUUUAAUUUUUUUCUCAAACAGAAUAGUAUCAUUUUUAUGGAUCUUAUUCUUGUCUAAGGAUGUAGGGUACUAAUUAAUCAAUACCCUAACGCCUGCUGCAAGCUAAACGACAACAUUUGUGGGCGCACACUCGAUGAAUAUUUGUGCAAAAAUGAGUUCAGACGUUUAUAUGAAAUGACUGCAAUUACAAGGACCACAAUAGCUAGACCAACCUGAUCGAGCACGCAAAGGCGGCAGCUGCAGAUGCAAUGCAACCAAUUCGGUUCAGGAAGGAUUAUUAGCAACUGGCCGGGUUUGGGCAUGCGUAUGUAGGGACAUAGACAGCUACUUCAAAGUUGAUUAGGACUUAACUGAACCAAUUGGUGGGUUGAAUUGUACUACUAGAAGUCUAGAACUAUGCUUUAUGGACCACAAACACACAUGCUAUGCGAUGCGACACUAUUAGAGGCCGAUAAGCAUCAUGGGAAAAGAUAAGCACUUCCAGCUCAGAGUGGCUGCACUGUUUUGUACCCUGCACACAUUCUCUAAUCUCCUCAAAUGCACACUUCUAUAUUGCAUAGACGAUGCCUUUUCCCGUGUAGGCUCUUCCUAGUGUCCCUAAAAAUGGGGGUAGCUAGUACCACUGCCAUCCUAGCUUAGCAUAUGCAGGCCUUCCAUGCUAUAAAUAUAGAGGGACAGAGAUCUUCAGGGCUGAAGGAGAAAGCAAGCCGGGGACCCCUAUACACGAAAAAAGGCACGAAUGUUAAGCUCACAUGAUAUUCCCUGUUUAGAAUUUUGGAUCACUUUAGAUUGUUAUAAUCUAGAUUAUGGGUUAUGAGUAUAGUAUAUGAUUUGGAUUAAGGGAUACAAUAACCUGGCUAUUAGUUUGGAUCACUUUAUACACUCCCUUCAUCAUGUAAUAUAUUUCCCCCAUCUCAGAAAACUUGACGUCUUAGUAUUCAAUUUUUGUCCCUAGAAACAUAAUAUUUUGCUCUUGGGGCCAUAUCAGUUUCAGAUUGUUGUUUGCAUGCCUUCAUGCAUUCCUUUUAAUUAACAACUUAUUCCUUACUCCUAAAAUGAGUAUUUAGCAUGGAUUACCUUCAAUAAAUAGGGUACACAUGUAAUUGAGCACUAUCUGUCCUAAAAAAUCAUAUUAUUUUUAUGUAGGGAGUAGUGUAUUAUGGAGACUUUAGGAAAAUUAAGAGAGAAUACAAAAGGCACAUAUACCCUUACUUCAUUUCCUAAUCAGGCACUAUCAUUAGCGUGAUAAACGACAAGUAAUGAUAUAAUAUCCUACCAAAAUUGUGCUUUUGUUUAAUGCAAUGGAUCCCUUAUACUUGGAUACAAAUUUUGAAUGGUUGGAUGCACUAUAUUACAGGACAAAGAGAGUAAGCUUAGCUACAGUAGCAUUUUUUAAGAUGGGUGGUUGCAUAGUUUAAUAUGCAUGGUGUAUAAUCUUGAUUGUUUGGAUUAGUCAUGUUCAGGAAGUAAUUAAUUCAGUUAAAUUAUAUACAGUGAGAAAAGUCCUAGUAGUAUCAUGAAGUAAGGUAAUGGAGUCAAAUUAUAUAUAAAAAAAGUUAUAGCCUCUUGUUGGAGGACGAAGCUAGGUGCUUAUCUAGGAUGAACACAAAGGUUUAGAGAGGCUAAUAAGUUAACUAAAGAGAGGUUUUACUUGCCCAUUAGCAGUUGACUCUUGUUUGUUUGUCCACGCACGAAGCAUUGCUAAUUGUUGUAUUAGCUCGAUGAUACAAAAUAGUCGGGUUAGGAAAGGACCUAGGGGUUUAAAAGUGGAGGAGGCCAGAGUAAAUAACUUAGUACUCCGUACAUGAGACUCACUACUUAAGCAUAAAUAAUGGUGGAGCAAAUACUGCACUAGCCAUGUCUUUCGAAUUUUGUAGUGCUCCUAUGUAAUUAUGGUGUGGUUGUGUUGUGACUUGUUGUGAGGUAGGUAUAGUUGGGAUCUAGGGCAUAUAUAUGCUGCAAAGGCCUAUGAACCUAGCUAUGAGAUUUCUUAUUACGACAUGAUGGAGCAGCGUUUGCGUGGCCUUACAUUCAGCACCUACUACUAAGUCACUCACAUAUGCCCAUGCCCAGCCCAUAUCCCUUUGAUGGGAGAUGAUAGUAAAACAUUACUCCAUCCACAUCAAAUUAUAAGGCAUUUCAAAAAUCUUGAAGAGUCAAAGUAUUUCAAGUUUGACCGAAAUUAUAGAAAACAUUAUAAAGAUUUAUGAGAUCAAGUGAAUAUAUUAUGAAAAUAUAAUAAAUGAAGAAUCUAAUGAUACUUAGUUAAUAUCAUAAAUAUUAUUAUUUUAUCAUAUAAAUUUAGUCAAACUUUAGAUAUUUUUUUGGAAUGGCUUAUAAUUUGGGAUGGAGUAUAAAUAUUGCCAUUAUUUGUACAUUAUUUGGACAUUUGUCACGAAAGCAAUCAACUUUAUCACGGAUAUAAAGAGUCAUGCAUUUGUUUUGGCAAUAAUUUGGUCGUGCGUGAGGCAAAUCGAUCGGCAGCAUCGUCUCAUAGGCUAGGUAUAGCCUAUAGGAGGUAAAAUAUACCCUAUUCUGCAUGUAGGGCUUAAGAAAUGGCGGCUGCGGAAAGACGACGACGAUCGAUCUCGGCGUCCGUAUGUGUACAUAGAAAAAUGAACGCUUGCACGUACAUAUAUACACUGAUGAUACGAACACGGCUUACAUGCAUUGCAUUGCACAAGUCAUGCAAGCUAGUGGCGGAUCUAGAAUUUUAAUCAUGAAGAUAUGGACGAAAAUGGUAUAGUUUAUCAACAUAAAUAACAUAAUUAGAUCACUAAACGGUGCUAAAUAGUUGUAAAUGUAAAGUGUUGCGGCUGUUGUAUGUGAUGAACAAACUAGCAAUUGUAUAUAACAAUGUAUUAUAUAUGUAUAUAUUAUUAAAGGAUAUAUAUACUAGAUGUUUUUUUAGAAAUGUUAGGGGGACAGUUGUACCCCUAUACUACUACUGUUACACUGUAGAUCCGCCCCUGGUUUGAGCUAACAUGAACAGGUCCUGGAUGCAUUUAGUUAUAGGAGCUACUCUGUCCUGGAAUAAAUGCACGUCUCGAUCUCUAGAGUCAUUUUUUAUUUUUCUCUAAAAUAUAGAUAAUAGUAUCAAUAUUUGUAUCUUCAAAUAUAUUUUGAUAGCUUGGUUGGAUAGCUCCUGGUUGUGGAAAGCUCUAAAUAGUUUGAUUCCUCCGCAUACACAUGUUUGCGUGUUAUAAAAAAAUCUCCCUCAUCUAUCCUACGGCAAAGCAUAGGUCUAAAGACCGGUAUAGUCUCAUAUGGGCUGUGCUACCCCUAUGUGAGAAAUUCUUCUUCUUAAGCACAAUACCUAAAGUCCAUCGUACCCCCUGCGGGUUGAGAUUUUAUUUUAUAAAAAUAUACUCUAAGAUUAAUCUAAUGAUACUUAUUAUACAUUAUAAGUAUUAUUAUAGUUUUUAUAAAUUGAGUUAAACUUAAAAUUUUAAUUUUUUAGGAAACAAGAUGUGUAUUUUUUUUUUUUUGAGAUGCAGCACUUACAUUUACGCGCACCGGCACGUCCGCACGUACGGUACUGCUGCCCUCUUUGUCAAAGCUUGGUAGUCCUAGCUAGUCUUGUAGUACCUACUACUGUACAUCGCUUCCUAUAUCUGGCUGGCACGCUGGAUUGUUGUUCGUGUUUGCGCGUGUGUUCAAAGUUCAAACCUUGAGCAUGCACACAGCACAAGGUCCAAAGGGACUGUGCGCCAAAAGAUGCAACAACAAGGUCCGGUCCCCAACGUUGGCAACGUACGUAUGAACGACGAUGAAAAGAAGAGCGCCCGAUCGAGCGUGGUCGCCGGCCGCCGAUCCCGAGGCACGGUCACGGACCCCCUGGAGAUCAUCGGUGGAUCACGCGACGCUCUGCCAGCGGGCCGGCCGCCAAGGAAGAAGCCGAGAUGGCCCCGUGCAUGCCAUGCCGCGCGCUUUCGCUCUGUCCAAGAGAACCCAACCAAGCAAAGCAAGGCGAGCGCGCUGCGCGCCUUCUUGCACCGCGACGGACGGGCAAGCAGGCAAAAGCCGCGGCGCCACAAAAGCUAUGCGUGGGGUGGGGGUGGCAUCGCCGGGACCGAGCCCGACCGACCGACCGAUCGAUCUCUCGUGGGAUCGGAUCGGAUCGGAUCCCGUUCCCGUUCCCGCCAUCAUCGAUCGUCUUCUCGUCUGUCGUCGUCUCUGCUUUGCCCUGUGUUCUCGGAAGCCGCGGCGCGACACGACGGUGACACGGCCGCCGAGAAAGAGGAAAAAGCUAGUAGCGCGAUGGCACUGGCCUCCCGAUGGCACGCGGGCCGACGUGCCGCGCCGGAUCGCGAGCCGUACGUGGCCGUGCCCCCGCCUUUGGGUCUUUACCGCGUGCAACCAAAGUUACGGUCCCGUCCAGGGCGAUCCUGACCCAGCCUACGGUUAGCCAGUGCCAGUCCGCGCGCCCUCGAAAGCCUCGUGGUUUUUUUUUUUUUUUUUUGUAGUUUUAAUUCGUUGCUGGAUGGGGUGGCCGUGAUUUUCCUCGGCCGGCGGCCGGCGGCGAUGAGGGGAGUUUUGGAGGCCGGCGCCGGCGCCGGCUUGCAAUGGUAGGAGUACAUAUGCAAUGAUGGGCUGCCACCCUGCCUGGCACGCGUGAUCUGCUUCCCACGUGCGAGCCUACGAUGCUACGUGUGCCCCUACCCCCCGCGCCUUUAUCUUCUUUUGGUACUACUAGCAGUAGGAACACUGCAGGACGGCAGGAGCACACCAUUGCACUGCACUGCACUGCACUGCACCGCCACUUUUGUUACUGUUACUGGGCUGCUGCCACGACCGUACAACUACCACCAACUACCGACUCCUGCGGCUUGCGCCUCUUGCUCUGCCCAUCCUGGCAUGGCAUGCUGCAAAAAUUUUUUGGGACUAAACAAGUCAUGCCGCCCGCAGGAGCCAGAGCUCAACUGACGACGUCGCCGGCCGGCCGUUCGAUGCGCCGUGCGCGCAGUACGCUGGAGGCGGCCAUGUAGGAGUACCGAGUAUAUGCACCACAGUUUCUAGGCCUUGUUUAGUUCAAAAAAAUUUACAAAUUUCCCGUCACAUCGAAUCUUUAGACACAUGCAUGAAGUAUUAAAUAUAGACAAAAAUAAAAACUAAUUGCACAGUUUGGUCGAAAUUGACGAGACAAAUCUUUUGGACCUAGUUAGUCCAUGAUUGGACAAUAUUUGUCAAAUACAAACGAAAGAGCUGUUCAGUCCAUGUGCCGGCGGCGGAGCAGGUACAGAGUGCUCUACUACUCAGCUACUGCAUAUGCACUAUUGCACAGCGUCCACGCACGCAGCUGAUCGACACCGUCCGCGCGCACCGCGCUGCACGUCCAGCAUGGGCCUCCAUGGGCGGAUCGGGGUCUGCUCGCCGGAAGUCUCGCUCGAUCUGUGGUCUACGUUUGCGCGAGCGAGCGUACGUAUAUGAACACGUGAACAGCCUGCCGGCAAACGCGUAGAUUCUGCUAGAUCUGCAGUCCACCGUCCGUGCCAUGGCCCAAGGGUACGUACAGUACAGUACAGUACAGUACAGUACGUAUAAUGUACGUAUGCCUCGUGGCUGGGAGCACGCCAGCACGUACUAUAUACGUACGCAUGCAUCCACCCGCUGCUAUAGCCACACAGGGCAUGUUUAUUUGCCUGGACAAGGAUUAGAGCUAGGGCCAACACUUGCGGACGGCCAUGUUUGUUUGUCCGAACGUGUUUUGAGCGCUGUUUAAAGCAAUUUAGGGCCGCACCUUGAGGAAACACCCCAUCCUUUUCGUUUCUCCAGAGCCCGAUUCAUUUAGGUGCAGGCGGGAUCCUUUUGGCCAUUUCGCGGGCUCGGUCUCUCAUCUCACGCGCGACGUAAAGUUCUCCACCUCCCCCACCGCUAGAGCUCGAUCGCCUCCCUUAUGACAUUGGCCGCUCGCUCGCUCUUCGUCUUUCUCCUCCCCGCUCCUCACUCCCUCUUGCUCUCCACUCUCUUCGAUGCGGUUGGCUCGUCGUCCGGUGGUGCGUAGUGGCGGUUUGGGCCUCGCUAAAUGCAGGACCAUCUAAAAGAUGCCGAGCUUCUAAACACCCUCAUCAAGUUCUACGAUGAGAUGCAAACUAUCCUUGCUAGUGGUAUGGCUACCGGUAGUUAGAACUUGCGAUCUAUGCUAUAUCAUGUUGUAAAAUCACUAAAAUUGUGUAAACUAUAUUUUUAUUAGUACUACUAAACUACUUUGCCAAGGUUAUUUGCUCAAAUGUUGCAAUAACUGCUCUAUUACCUUGUGUAUGAAAACUAUGUUCUUCUGCUGCAUGCCGAGCUAUCCAGGCAACCAAACACUUGGGAGAUGGUUGGGAACACUAACAACGUAGUCCCGCAUGGGCCUGACCCAUUUGGAAAAAAUCACCAAACAAGGUGAUGUUAUACCUGGGCCUUGUUUAGUUCUUAAAAAAUUUUGCAAAAUAUUUCAGAUUCCCCAUCACAUCAAAUCUUUAGACGCAUACAUGAAGUAUUAAAUAUAGACGAAAAUAAAAACUAAUUGCACAGUGUGGUUGAAAUUAACGAGACAAAUCUUUUGAGUGUUAGUACAUAAUUGUAUAAUAUUUAUCAAAUACAAACGAAAGUGAUACUAUUCCUAUUUUACAAAAAAUUUUUAGAACUAAACACGGCCCUGUUAGACAUGGUUUUUCUCGACGUCCAGACAAACAAACCCGCCACAAGUGACAGUGAAGGGCACGGCGGUUGGCAAGUCGGGCAGGCAACGGGCGGCGCGUGAGAAUUUCCGGGGAACCCGGCGGGCCGGCGUGCUGUACUGCUCUUGUUCUCUCCACCCCCGUGCCCCGUGGUCCGUACAGUACCACUCACGAGCCGGGAGUGAAGAAGUGUGUUUUUGCGCGGCGCAGGGAGAGCCACGGCAUUGAUGGAGAAGCCCACAGCUGCAGGGGGAGCCUGAUGAGAGGCCGGACGGUGCAGUAGCAGCAGCGAGAUCGAAGAAGGCUCCUGACGGGAGGGGACAGCCCAAGGCCCAUGCGAUUUAAGAAGCAGGUGAGAGGAGGCCCAUGCGGCGAUGGCGAAGGUACUGGGAGUACCACGGAGACACAGCUUGCAAUUUAAGCCGAGCGUUACGGCUCUGGCACUAGCACUCUUACCCUUUUUCUUUUGUUCAAAAAAGAGGUAGACAUUUAUAUGCAUGUAGGCAAACGCUCUAUUUUUAUAUGAACGCAUUCAAAAUUGAUAGUCACCGCUGAUGUUUCGGUGUCAGCGAACACGUCACCUACUAGUUCGUUUGGCUUAUCAGCCGAAUCUAUCAGCCAUUCAGCAGUAUUUUUUUUCUCUCACCCAACAGUACUUGGCCAUAGACGAGUGUGGUCUCUCAAAGACUAGUAGCAUUUUGGCAGAAAAUAGGUCCAGGAUAAAUAGAUUGCACACAAAAUCGAUUCUGCAAUGGCGCGAAGGAAGAUCUGCAUUGAAGAGAACUGAAUUUGAAACUCGGGGGUCUCACUUUAAAUGGAAGGCGUGAGAGGCCUUAAAUUGGAUUCACAGGUCACAGCUCUGCCCACCAAAAGGCCGGGCUUCUUCAUGCCUGACAGUGUGAGGCACCUGCGGUAGCAGUGUCCCUCCCUGUUCGGCUUUUCCUGAGCUGCGGGGGCGGUGCAGGGCAGCAGCCCGCUCUCUGCAGCAUCGCCAGGGAACCUGCCUCCUCAUUAUGCUUCCCGGCUUCCCGCAGUUCACAGGUUUGCCAUCAUAUCCAUUUACUCUAGUACUGUGGCUACUGAUGGCCAAACAAAUGGGGGAUCCAUUGCCAACAGGAUGCGCACAAAUGGGGGAUCCAUUGCCAACAGGAUCCAUUGCAAAAUUUUUCAGACUCCCCGUCACAUCGAAUCUUUAGAUGUAUGCAUGGAGUAUUAAAUAUAGAUAAAAAUAAAAACUAAUUGCACAGUUUAGUCGGAAUUGACGAGACGAAUCUUUUGAGCCUAGUUAGUCCAUGAUUGAACAAUAUUUGUCACAUACAAACGAAAUUGCUACAGUGCUCAUUUUGCCAAAAAUUUUGGAACUAAACAAGGCCCUAGUUCAAACUUCAAAGUUCAAACUGGUAGUGCACAAAAGGAAAUGGGAGAAAUCAUCCGGGCCUUGUUUACUUCCCAGAAAAUUUUACAAAAUUUUUCACAUUCUCCGUCACAUCGAAUCUUUAGACGCAUGCAUGGAGUAUUAAAUAUAGACGAAAAUAAAAACUAAUUGCACAGUUUGGUCGAAAUUGACGAGACGAAUCUUUUGAGUCUAGUUAGUUCAUGAUUGGACAAUAUUUGUCAAAUACAAACGAAAAUGCUACAGUAUCCAUUUUCCAAAAAAUUUCGGAACUAAACAAGGCCCCGCUUAUGUAUAUUUGGCAACUGGAGACACUUACAACGACGGUACGUACAAACUAUAGUCGCCUAUAAAUUCGUCCUCUGCACCACAUCAGGUCCAUCGAUCUGUAGACAGGGCAUCGACAUGCAUGUCAUGAACGAAGUAGUACGAGCAAGCCUGCAGAGUCAACUGCGCUCCUGCUUCGUCACAGGCUCACAGCUGCAUCCAGGCUCGCUACUGAGAACCCAGUCUCUGGGACAUCUACCAGCUGGUACCGUUGGUGUUGCAGUGGAAGAAAUUGCCUAGAGAAGAUUUGCGCAACCCCAAUCAACACAUAAGACUACUGGAAAAGCAUAGAAUUUCACUCUGCUUACCUGCUCAAUCAGUGAAUAGUCCAUUUCUGAUUCUGUAGUCGACUCCUCAUGCUCAGUUGUUGCAAUCACCUCUCCAAGCGCUAGCAGUAUGCAAAUGGUUAGUUAGGGCCAGUCUCAAUGGAGUUUCAUUAGAGUUCAUGCACAUUAAAUAUGCUGAUGUGACACUGUAUUAAUGAAGAGAGAGAUGAUAAGAGUUUCAUAGGAGUAGAGAGAGUUUCAUCCCCACGAAACUCUCUGCAUUGUUUCCAAAAUAUGGAUGUGUUGGAAACUGUGUUAUGAAACUUGCAUUGAAGAUAGCCUUAUGACGUGACAUAUCUUUGCUAGUCUAUAGCUUUCAGGUUGUUGGUAAAAACCACAACAGGUUUUAUCGGAAGCAAAAGUAGUUUUGUGCUGGUGCAGAGUCUGUCUGGAAGCUAGGUAAGUGUUGGUUACUGACAGAACCAAAGGGUAGCAAAUGGAAAUCUCAGGUUAACUUACAGGUCCAACAAGAGUGGUGGCCCGAAGCAAUAUAGCCUGCUUGGUAUCUCGAGUUGGAGUGCAUGUUGCAACAAACAGCUGGCACCAAACAGUUGAUUAACAUUUUUAAAGCAUAAAACUAGCAAAAGGAAUGGCAAAUGAAAGUUGAAGUUAAGGAAAUUGAAACACCAGCACGCAUAGAAGCGCAGCAUAUCUGGUUGUCUGCAGCAGAAAUGAUGUCAUCAGGACAGAGCAAAGAAAAGUAGUGGAGACAUUUAAGAUAUGAAAUUAUCCUGAUCUAAAUUUUGACUAGUUCUGAACCUGUUUUUAGAUCAGCAUACAUAAAAGCAGCGAGCAUUUCAGCUCGCAAUAUUUCCCUUACAUAAUUACCGUAAUUUGAGGUGCAAAGUCAUUUUCAUCAUUUGUUACCUCGCCCUUCGCAGCAAAUCCCAAUGCAAUGGUCCAGUAGUCAUGUUGAAUGCUCCAGGAUAUCACAAAAAUGAGCUUAGUCUUUUUUUUGCCAGCAAAAUGAGCUUAGUCUGUUUCAUCAGUUUCAAUAUUUUUUAAAAUUAUCAGAAAACAAUAGUAGUAAGAUGUAAGUAUGUAUUCAGAAUUGUUAAUAUAACUGAAAAUCUGAAAAUGUUAAUCAAACAGAGAGAAAACACAGACUAAGUGUCUACCCAUUUACAUGUGCAGUAGGUUACAAGAUGACAUGGUCCAAAUACGGCACAUGCCACAUCGUCUUUAAUAAAAUAAUUAUAAUAGUUUACUUCAUCAAGUUACAGCUUAAAAGAGGCGACUACAGUAGAAAAACACACAUGAGGAAGUCCUUGCAACAUACAACAUUGCUAAUUCCUGGAAACAGAUGUCAUGGCAUACCAAUACCAAUUCGCCCGACAUCUGAAAAAGAAAUCAACAAUGCCAUUAGAAUAUAGGAAGACUAAGCAACACAAACAAAAGGCACUGUAAAACUAAGUAACACUAACAUAGCAAUAUAGAAAGGUAUAACUUGAAUGUAACUAUCCCAAUCAUCAAACUAUUGUAGAACCCAAUUCAAAUCACCUAGACUCAAUUAGAACGUGUGGACAAAACUUUCUUUACUACUAGGUUACUGGUGUAAAACCCUCCAAUUCAAAUCAACAAUGCACUUAGAAAUUGUGCAAAUGUUGGAAACCACACAAAAUAGAGAUACAUGCUUACAUAGAAGCCUACAAACCAAAGAAGCCAAACGUGUAAGUCAAACGUGUAAGUGUAAAACAGAUAACACAACUGAUGAAAGCAUAACCCCCAUAAUAUAAGGCUAAAAGACCGGUAUUUAAAAAACUGUCAACAUCAAGAUCAUAUGUUUGGGGAAAAAAGGUAAGGUCAAACUCCUUGAAACAUUAAGAGCACUUCUGUAUUAAUUUAGUGGCUCAAUUUUCAUAUCUCUGUACUUUGGCCAAAGAAUGGUGUCCACAACUCCACACUGCACAGGACACACUGCUUAGUUUUUUCUAAAUACAAAAGGAUACUAGAAAAAGUGCCUGUGCGUACACUAUUCCAACUCUACAUUUCUUUUUCCACCAGAGUAGUCCAAGGAAGACAGUGCGAGACUAAUUCAAGACCACGUGUCUGUGUUUCACGAAUUCCCUGCAACACCCAUUGUCAAUAACAUAAAGGACUAGGGCCUGAAUACCAAAUUAAAAAGCUACAGCACAUUGAACUAUAAGUAUUAGGUACCAUUUGAAACCUUUCUAGAAUUAGCAUAGAUUAAUUCCUACAGAAACUAGAUUCUGCAACGCAGUGCAGCACAAAAAAUCACAUCGCCUUAAAUCAUUCCAUUGCAGUUAAUUGUAGGAUCCAUUCCAUCUAAGAACAAAGCAAUAUUAUGCACACAUAUCUCUAAUGCGGAAAAUCUACUAUGCAAUUUUGAUAGGGUAUUGGGUAUUUCGUAUUUGGGUUACAACGACAGGAUUUAGCUCGAGGACUUAACAACAGCAAGUCUACCAUUUUGGUGUGGCCUUAUUUAUAAACUCCAAUUUUUUAGUUCAUUCAUCAGUAUGAGCGAUGCUCCAAAGCCCCAACGCUCAAGAUGUAUGCAGCCAUCGAUGAGCUAAUGGGUUUCGUCGUGUAAAAUCUGACAAAAGGUUGAUUUAAAGUUUGAAUUUCUUUAGAAGCAAACUCAACUCUGGGAGCAGUUUUACCAUACUAUUCUUCUUCAUACAUGCAUGCCCUGCUCCAAAAAGGAAAACCGUGUGGUCUGUGCCUGCCUCUAACAUGCAAAGCUGCUUGAAGGAUUUACCCAGCGUAUUCUAAACUCUUAUAUCCAUUGUUUGAACAACAGUUGCAAAUUCUCAUUCUAGUUGGCACAUGCACAUUUGAUCCAAGUCCAAACAAUUAAUGCAUUCCUAUUAUCCCAAAUAAGGCCACACCAAAAUGCAGCACUAUAUAUAUGUCGACUAGGACAGUAAACAUUUGUUAACAUCAAUCCACAGAAUUGUAUACGGAUUUCACUGGUAUCAUUACUCCAAGGACCCAAGCUAAGACGGACGAGGGAGGAUUGAGUGCGAAACGAAAUUUUACACCACCAUUGGCAGGGAAUGGGAUAGAAACUAACCCUUCACAAGGUCCACGGGCGUGGGCGCGGCAGCAGCUUCACGGAGGCGGACGAGUAGUACGGCAGAGGCGCCGAGGAGCACCACCCGCCGCGCCAGCACGUAGGCACCGCCCGCCACCGCCGCGGCCAACGAGGGAGAAGGGCCGCCAUCGAGCGGCGGGGAAGGCGACGGUGAGAGGAGGAGGUAGCCCAUCCUCUCGGGAGCCCACAAAACCAUUCGAGAGAGCCCACGGCCCACAAACCCACGUACAGUCUCGACUUCUCCAGAUAUUUCGGCCCCGAAGCAACUAUCGCCUCAAUAAGACGAGACACCUCACCAGUUGUUGCGGCUUAAACCCUUAUCGCCACCGCCGCGUCCCCAUCUCUCAUCUCCGCGGCCCGUCUCGUCUCCCACUAGGGUUUGGCACUUUGGCCGCCGCCAUGGCGUCGGCGUCGCGCGCGCUCCUCCUCUCCCGUGCGCUCCAGGCCGGCGCCGCGUCCCGCCGCGUCCCCACCCUCCUGCGCCCGCUCGCUGCGGCCGCGAGCCUCCUCCCGGCGGCGGCGGCGGCGGCCGCCCCCGGCGCUGGGGUGCGCUGCUUCGCGACCCAGCCGGCGACGUCCUCGCUGCGGGACUCGUCCCCGAACUGGAGCAAUCGCCCGCCCAAGGAGACGAUCCUCCUCGACGGGUGCGACUUCGAGCACUGGCUCGUCGUCAUGGAGCCGCCGCCUGGUGACGCCUCCAACCCCGAUAUUACGCGCGACGAGAUCAUCGAUAGCUAUAUCAAGACCCUCGCCCAAAUCGUCGGGAGGUAUAUAUAUAUAUGGCUGUAUCCAUUUUCUGUUUUGUUGUUGGUGUUUUCCUGCCAGAGUAGAUAAAAUUGCUCUGGUGUAGCGUGACGGUAAGAGUGUACUGUGUUUUAUUUUAUUUAGUGGAAAUAGGACUGGUUGAAUCUCUUACUGCUUGAUCAGAUGAAUAUUUAAGAUAAGAUGAAUAUGUGAGUAUUACAACGAAUAGGAGAAAUGGAAGUUUGGGUUUUAGAAGGAUUUGGUUAUGCGGAUAUUACAAUUAAUAGGGGAAAUGGAAGUUUGGGUUUUAGAAUGAUUUGGUGUUGCUCAUAUUUUACAAGAGAUAUAUUUAUAAAUCUGAUCAUCUUAUAGCUAGCCAAGAAAUACUUAAUGCUACGAUCUGUGGAAAAAGUGUGCCUAAAGAGCACAGCGAUCUUUUGCUCUAGAACUGAACCAUUUCCUUGUGUCUGAGAAAGAACUUCCAGGUUAAUAGGGACGAUACUUGAUGUGGGCUUUGGGUUCAUGUUGAAUAUAAUUUUUUUUAAAAAAAUGAUUUUGUUUUUGGUGACUGUACAAGUUAUGACAGCCUGUUAGAUGAUUCUCUGCCUUGUGUGAGCUUGAGUAACGGUUUGUUUGGAUCCAUUUGUUCUAGUUCUAAUGGUUUACUACCUCCAUUUUCCUAGUGUGAGCUUGGGUAAUGGUUUGCUUGGAACCACUAGUUCUAAUUGUUACUAGAAGCUAAAGUUAGCACUAGUCGAUCCAAACACCUCAGCUAAUAGUGCAACUAAUAGCUCAGAAUGAACUACCUAGCUGAUGAGUUAUUAAUUGGCUUCCAUAACCUAAUUACUACUCCCACCAUUCCAAAUUAUAAGACAUUUUGGAUUUUCUGGAUACAUAGAUUUUGCUAUGGACUGAGACAUACUGUCUCUAGAUACAUAGAUAAAACAAUGUAUCCACAAACGCUAAAAUGUCUUAUAAUAUGGAAUGGAGGGAGUAAUGACUAUUGGAUGGAGGAUCCAAACGGGGUUCAACUAAUAGGCCAACUAAUAGCCCUGCUCUUAUAAAGCUACUAGUUGGCUGGCAUCCCUCUGUAGAUGCUAACUAUUGGUACCAGUGGAUCCAAAAAGGAACCUACCGAUCUGCUGCUGUUAUCUUUCAGAUUUGUUCUUUAAUUUGGUCUAGUUAUGGUUCUUUUGUGUGUCUCGGACAUUAGAGUUUAUAGUGAUAAUAUGUGUGUAAUUUUUAGUUCAUAUAGAAUGAGGUUUUUUUUGUUCAUUUUAACUCUGCAAGGCCCGCAUCUUAACCAAUUCCUUGUUUCAGUGAGGAAGAAGCUAGGCAAAAGAUAUAUUCGGUGUCUACUCGUCAUUACUUUGCCUUUGGUGCCCUUGUAUCUGAGGAACUCUCUUACAAACUCAAAGGUAUUUAUGAUCUCAUAAAGUAAUAUAGGGGUAGGAAGUAAAUCAUUGUUGACCUCUUAAUCAUUUGCAGAAAUGCCCAAGGUCCGCUGGGUUCUUCCUGAUUCAUACUUGGAUGUCAAAAAUAAGGACUAUGGAGGUACUGAUAACAUGUUUUCUUUGAAGCAUAGGCUAUAGAGUAUUUGCAUUUUCUUGGUCAUGUACAAGCAUCCUGCUCACUAUAUUCGAAUUGCCCUUUUCACAUUCUCCUUGUUGUUUGUUGACACUGUUAUGUCUUUCUUGCUUGAACACAAUAUAUUACAGCUUAAUUUUAAACUUGAGUAACUUUAAAUCUUCGUUAUUUUGUAUCAGAUGUGAAUGUCUUGGUUAUUUGCUAGUGUCCAACUGUUUUAUGAAAUUUGGCUCCUCACUACUUAUUUACUCGCCUGUUUUUAUGCCCUCUAAUUUUCUUUUCUAUACUUGUGUACUUGUGAUGAAAAUAUAUCACUGUCCUUGUGUAAAAUAUGGUCAGGUGCUUUGUCAAAUCAUCUUAGGCGCUAUUAGCAUCUCGAAUAUAUUCCUUGUGUCUUGAAGAACACCAAUACAGAUUUAAGAACCUAUAUCUUGGGAUAGCAGUUCACCACACAUGACACCCCUGCAGUUUUGAUCAACUAUACAUGUAUGCCUUGCGAAGCUAUUUUAGUUUUUUUUUAACUGAUGUUUUUAAUUGAAAUUGUCAGUGGCUAUAGUUUAUGUCCAUCCAUGUUUGGACAACUGGUUCUGCGAGUAUAAUGUUCAUAUGAACUGACUAUUCCACAAGCUUAUGGUACCUUCUAUCACCUGUUUCAGGAGAACCCUUCAUAAAUGGGGAAGCUGUUCCUUAUGAUCCUAAAUACCAUGAGGAGUGGGUGAGAAACAAUGCCCGUGCCAAUGAAAGAUCCCGUAGAAAUGAUAGGCCCCGCAACUUCGACAGGUCAAGGAACUUUGAGAGGAGAAGGGAGAACAUGCAGAACUUCCAGAACAGAGAUGGGCCUCCUGCGCAGGGUUUCAGUGGCCCCCCACCUCCACCUGGCCAGAACCAGAUGCCACCUCAGCAUGUUCAGGGUAACAUGCCGCCACCACCACCACAUGCUGGUGGUGGUCAGCCAAACUAUCAGCCCCAAAUGCCAAACCCACAGGCGGGCUACAACCCUGGUGGUGCUCCUCACUACCAGCAAGGUGGUGCUCCUGGCUACCAAGGUGGACCUCCGGGGUAUCAAGGUGGUAACCAAGGUUACCAAGGGAACCCAGGCCCGGCCUACCAAGGUGGUAACCCUGGCUACCAAGGUGGCCCACCUGGUUACCCUGGUGGCAACCCACCACCUCCACCUCCCUACCAAGGAGGCAACCCCAAUGCACCGCCAUACCCUGGUGGUGGCAAUCCUGGCUACCCUGGUGGCAGCCCAGGCUACCAAGGUCAAGGAGGCAACUCGAACUUCCAAUGAACAUGACCACGCCUAAGUAUAAGUAGGCACCCCUGUUCCAGAGUAGCCUUCUGGGAGAGAUGGUGUGCAGUAGCAUAAAUCGAACCCUUGUUGCUAUCUGAUUUUCAUGCACUGUCGCUGUAUGCACCUAAUUAUUAUGUUCUAUAUAGUACUCAACUGUGCUUGGUGUCUGAGUGAUGCACCCGGAAUUCUGAAACUAUGGAUGAUGUACCAUCAGCUCUUCUGCUCUUGAAUUCCCUUGCUGAGCCAUAUGCUCAGCAGUUGUCGGCUUUGUCUGUCUUUGUUCGUUUUGAAUGAUUUUUUACCCACAAACUUGUUACAGCUCAUCCUGCUAAAUUCAUGUGAUAUUUUUUCCUGCAUUUUACAUUGAACGGUCCGCACGUUCAUUUCAUGCUCGUAUACUUGAGACACGAGACUUGAACGGGCGUCAUCGUUAAACCACAGGACGCUUCAUCUUUCGAAAAACCUAAAAUACACGAGGACGUGAUGCACGAACCUCGACCAUCUCUGUCUACUGACCAAAACCACUUUUUCAAUGUUGUAAAAAACCACUUUUUCAAAAACUGUUUAAAGCUUAUUAAUAUUUGGCGUGAUCACUGCCUGGCGCCCAAAAGGCCCAAUCAGCCACCGUAUGUAUAGAGUACCCAAUAAGAGCAUUUUUAGCGGAAGUUGCAUCUGCUACCAAAGGUUUUAUGAAAAGAGAAAAAAACAAGUUUUAUUGGAAUUGAACUCUUUAACUCAGUUUUUAACUAUGAGACAUAAAAUUAAUGUCUACGAAACAAUAAAAUAAAACUAUAUAUUGAGGAUGAGUGUUCCAUAAACACAUUUUAUGUGAUGUGAUAGUUUUGAAAAAUAAUGAGAUGAAACUCUCUAUUAUGAAUGACAUAAUGCACACUAAAUAUACCAUGAUGCCAUGAAUCAUGAUGGUCACUAUCUCCCUCCGAUUUCACUAGCGCUACCAGUGAAAUGCAUUUUGUCAGCUAAGAUUCUUGGGUUCUAUUUGUUUAGUGGUUGGCCGUAACGAUUUAACUUGUGCCGGGACUACGACAGUUCAACGUUUUUUGAAUAACUUCCUAGAAUCAUUAAUGAAUAUAUGAGGGUUACACGAAUCACUUACUUAACACCACCAUGGUGUGAUGGCUCGGUGGCUAUGCGCUCUUUCACACAUAUCUCUAAUGCGCUCUUCAUAGAUACAUGAUCUGUUCAACAAAAGAAAAUCCUCUGGUGGCGGAGCUAAAAUUUGAAUAUAAAGGUGGUGUCGUGCGAACGAAUAACAAUCACACAUGAUGAAAUACAUAUAACAUAUAUAUACAUAACAACCAAAAAAAUAUUUUAUGUUAUAAUACAAAAAAACUAAAAACUAGAAAAAAAAAACAUAAAAUAUUUUAGUGUCAGCACCAAUUGGUUCUUUGCAGUUGAAAGCCUUUUUAACUGAUCAUUGAUGGAUAUUGGGGAAGAAAACUCGUCCUGUGGUCGUGGGAAGUUCCCGUGCAUAUGGUUGUGCAAUCGUGGCUUGAUCCACUGACAAGUGACAAGUACGGUUGGGAGCAUCUCCAAUAGUUUUGAAAAAACGACUUGGCAGUGUUUUAGCAACUCGGAAAAACAAAUGGCAAUUCAGAAUCUAGACAAUCUCCAAUAGUUUCGGAAAAACGACUUGGCAAAUUAAAAAUUAGAAGGACACCGCCACCUCCUACCCUUCUGCUGCCCUAUCCUUCUGCCGCUAUUCUCCUCCCUCAGCCAUGUGUUCAUUGGUAGUAGUACUUGUAGCUAUGUUUAUUGGCACUUGUAUGCUGCGUGUGUUUAUUGGCCAAGACUACCUGCUGCACUAGUGCAUAGGUCCUGUUUUUUUUGUCCGUACAGCUCUGGUGCACAGGUUCUGCUGCUGGCCGACAACGACUGGGGCAGUAGUACUGACAGCAUCAGAUCAUCAACCUGACACUAGCAGCAGCACGUAUGAGGUCGGAGGCGUGCGAGAGGGAUUCGGGCCGCGGGGAGUGUGAUGGGAAAGCGAGUACGCGCGUGGAUGGGAGUUUUCCAAGCUCCGAGAUUUAGAGCAUCUCCAACAAGUUAAAGCCACUUGGUAUUCUUAAAAUUUUAGCAAAAACUGAAAAACACUUCUCCAACAACUUUGUAAACUCACUUUGUAUAUUUCCAAACUGCGUAAAUCCGGCUUCCGCGCGCGGAACUAUACGCGCGCGACGGAGCUUUGUAUCCGCGAAAUUCUCCGUCGCCGCCUCCGCUCCCGCGCUCGCGCGUCGCCUCCCGCGCGCGCCAAACCAUCUCCCGCGCUAGAAAAGUGUUGCCCGGCCGGCAAAUCAACCUGAGUCGACAGCAUGCAGGCCGAUCAGAUGCACUGCUUUGUUGACAGCGACAGCAGCAAAUCAAUGAUUGACAGCAGUGCAGAACGAUCAAGCAACAGGCCAUUUUAUUUUUUUCAGUGCAGAACGAUCAAGCAACUGCUUUGUUGACAGCGACACCGUGAGUGUAGGGAUCGCCGGAGUACUGUAGCGACGUGCGUGAGCCCCGACUGCCUGCGUCGUGCGGAAGGAGGAGCGUCGUGUGCGCGGACGGACUCGCGUGCGGAAGGAGAAGGGUCGGCGCCAUGCGGGUGGAGGACAGGCCGCGUGAAGUUCUGGAGGUCGAUGGGCCAAUUGGGUUUUGGAGGUAGAUGGGCCAAGUUUUUCAAUUUUAGCAAGUGAGAAUACCAAAUUGUUGGAGACACAUCUUAUUUGCACUUGCUAAACAAAAUAGCAACUUGGUAUAACCCAAGAUAUACCAAGUGAAUUAUACAAACUUGUUGGAGAUGCUCUUAGAAAGUCACUUUUCCAAACUAUUGGAGGCCAAAUUUUUAUAUUUUGCCAAAAAUUAAAGGAUAGCAAUAUGGUUUAGGAAACUGUUGGAGAUGCUCUAAGAUGGGAUCAUCCUGUAUACUAAUACAUGACCAUCGCGCGGCGAGGCGGCCAGCAGGAGGUGGGGCCCAUCCCGCUCGGGACAGCGGGAGAAGCGAAGCCCUAGAAGGCCCACAUUUAACAUUCGAGAGCCCACGGCCCACAAGCCCAUGUACAGUACAGCCUCUCGACUCCGCCAGAUAAUUCGGCCCCUCAGCAACUAGGCCUUGUUUAGUUCACCCAAAAAGUAAAAACUUUUUUAAAAUUUUCUGUCACAUCGAAUUUUACUGUUCAUAUACGGAGUAUUAAAUAUAGAUAAAAACAAAAACUAAUUGUAUAGUUUAUAUGUAAAUCGCGAAACGAAUUUUGUAAGCCUAGUUAUUCUAUAAUUGGACAAUGUUUGUCAAAUAAAAACGAAAAUGCUACAAAUUUUUUCGCAUUUAAACAAGUCCUAAUCUGCCUCAUUUGCCGCAAUAAUAACACACCUCACCAGAUGCGGCUUAAACCCUUAUUAUUCGCCACCGCCGCGUCCUCUUGUCUCAUCUCCCUCCAGGCCAGGGUUUGGCACUUUGGCCUUCGCAAUGGCGUCGGCGUCGCGCGCGCUCCACCUCUCCCGUGCGCUCCAGGGCGGCCGCCGCAUCACCACCCUCCUGCGCCCGCUCGCUGCGACCGAGAGCCUCCUCCCGGCGGGGGCCGGUGCGUCCGCCCCCGGCGCCGGGUUGCGGUGCUUCGCGACCCAGCCGGCCACGUCCUCGCUGCGGGACUCCUCCCCGAACUGGAUCAAUACCCGCCCGUCCAAGGAGAUGAUCCUCCUCGACGGGUGCGACUUCGAGCACUGGCUCGUCGUCAUGGAGCCACCGCCUGGUGACCCCUCCAACCCCGACAUUCCGCGCGACGAGAUCAUCGAUAGCUAUAUCAAGACCCUCGCCCAAGUCGUAGGGAGGUAUAUAUGGCUGGAUCCAUUUCUCUGUUUAGUUGUUGUUGGUGUGUUUCCUGCUAGGAUACUUGUUGGUGUGUUUCUGCUAGGAUUGAUAAAAGUGUUCUGUUGUUGCGCAUGACCAUAACAGUGUAUAGUGUUUAAUUUAUUGGAAUUAGGACUGGCUGGAUAUGUUACUAAUUGUUCAGAAAUUCAGACUGAAUCUUUUGGUAUUAUUGGUUCUGGCAUGCGGCCUUUGUUGGGUUCAUGUUCAAUAUUCAUGUUGAAUGUAUAAAAAAGGACGGAAGUGAGAGUAUGCAGGCCAAUGCAUGCAUGCAGCAUGCGUAUCUUGGUAAUUUGAGUAGUAAUCCGGCGGAGUACUGAACAGGCCCCUAGACACACCAGCCCGCCGCCUAUUGUGGCCAAAUAAAUAAACCGCUUGUAUGCUGCCUAUAUAGGAACAUAGGGAGUACUAACUAUUAGAUGGAGAGUCCAAAUGGGGCUCGAUUAAUAGGUUAACUACUAGUCCCGCUAAAUAAAAAGCUACUAGCUGUCUUCCCUCUGCUAGCUGCUAACUAUUGGCGCCAAUGGAUCCAAAAAAGGGCCCAAGCCCCAAAAUGAUCCUCUGCUGUGAUAUUUUCAGAUUUGUUCUUUGAUAUGAUCCAGUUAUGGUUCUUUUGUGCGUCUAGCACAUUAGAGCUUUGGAGUGCUGAUAUAUUUCUGCAAGUUUUAGUUCAUAGAAUGCAGUUCUUUUUGCUCAUUUUUUCUCUACAACGCCUGCAUAAAAAAACAAACUCCUUGUUUCAGUGAGGAAGAAGCUAGGCAAAAGAUAUAUUCUGUAUCGACCCGUCAUUACUUUGCUUUUGGUGCCCUUGUACCAGAGGAAGUUUCUUACAAACUGAAAGGUAUUUAUAAUCUCAUUAAGUAAUAUAACAGUAAGAAGUAAUUCAUUUGUCCUUGGAUUGUAAUGCCACUUAAUUGUUUGCAGAGAUGCCCAAGGUUCGCUGGGUUCUUCCUGAUUCAUACUUGAAUGUGCAAACUAAGGACUAUGGAGGUACUGAUAACAUAGUUCCUAUCCAAGUAAUACUAUUGGAACCUUCUACUCAGAAUUGACCACUGAUACAUGGUAUAAACAUAGCCUUAAUGAAUUAACUGACUUGGUUUACUUAUUAAAAUACAAUUGAAAUUGAAAUACAAAAUCGAAAAAAUCAGACCUGUUAGCAUUCUAAGGUCAAAAGUAUAUAUUUGCAUUUUCAGGGUCAUGUACAAAAAUCCUUUUCAUUAUUCUCUAAUUGACUUUUUCACAUUCUCUUUGUUGUUUGUUGACACUGGUAUGUCGUUCUUGCUUGUUGUACUCAAUGUACAACAUCUGAUUUUAAAACUUGAGUAAUUUAAAUCUUCAUUAUUUUAUAUCAUACGUGAAUGUCUUAAUUGGUUUGCUAGUAGUGUCCAAACAACUGGUCUACAAAAUUUUGAUCCUCUACUUAAUUGACUCCCCUGUUUUUUUUUCUGCCCUGUGCCCUCUAAUUUUCUUCUUUAGGAUUGUGAUGUAAGGAUAUCACUGUCAUCAAGAAUAACAUAUAAUGAAGUGCUUUGUCAAAUCAUCUUUAUGCCGUCUUGAGAAACACCAAUUACACCAAUAUAUGUUUUAGAACCUAUAACUUGGGAUGGCAGUUCACCUCACAUGACACACCCAUUUUGUUUGAUCAACUAUGCAUGUAUAUGUAUUCAUAAGCUAUUUCAGAUUUUUUUUUUGAAUUGAAUUCAACUGAAAUGUUGGUGGCCAUAGUUUGUCCACCCAUGUUUGGACAACUGAUUCUGUGAAUUUCGUCAUACUUGUAUUGUUGAAAGUACAUUUCUGUGAAUGGGCACUAUUCAACAAAUUUUUGAUACCUUCUACUUCCUGUUUCAGGAGAACCCUUCGUAAAUGGGGAAGCUGUUCCUUAUGAUCCUAAAUUCCAUGAGGAGUGGGUGAGAAACAAUGCCCGUGCCAAUGAAAGAUCCCGGCGAAAUGAUAGGCCCCGCAAUUUUGACAGGUCAAGGAACUUUGAGAGGAGAAGGGGGAACAUGCAGAACUACCAGAACAGAGAUGGGCCUCUUGCGCAGGGUUUCAAUGGCCCCCCACCUCCACCUGGCCAGAACCAGAUGCCACCUCACCAUGGUCAGGACAACAUGCCGCCACCACCACCACCACCGCAUGCUGGUGGUGGUCAGCCAAACUAUGACUCCCAAAUGCCAAACCCACAGGCGGGCUACAACACUGGCGGUGCUCCUCACUACCAGCAAGGUGGUGCACCUGGCUACCAAGGUGGACCUCCGGGGUAUCAAGGUGGCAACCAAGGUUACCAUGGGAACCCAGGCGCGGCCUACCAAGGUGGCCCACCUGGUUACCCUGGUGGCAACCCAGCACCUCCCUACCCAAGGAGGUAACCCCAACGCACCGCCAUACCCGGGCGGUGGCAAUUCUGGCUACCCUGGUGGCGGCCGAGGCUACCAAGGUCAAUGAGGCAACUCAACUACCAAUGAGAAUGACC